CGCAAUCUCGGCUCACUGCAAGCUCCGCUUCCCGGGUUCACGCCAUUCUCCUGCCUCAGCCUCCCGAGUAGCUGGGACUACAGGCGGUGCGCCGUUUUUUAAGCCCGUCGGAAAAGCGCAGUAUUCGGGUGGGAGUGACCCGAUUUUCCAGGUGCCGUCCGUCACCCCUUUCUUUGACUCGGAAAGGGAACUCCCUGACCCCUUGCGCUUCCCGAGUGAGGCAGUGCCUCGCCCUGCUUCGGCUCGCACACGGUGCGCGCACCCACUGACCUGCGCCCGCUCUCUGGCACUCCCUAGUGAGAUGAACCCGGUACCUCAGAUGGAAAUGCAGAAAUCACCGUCUUCUGCGUCGCUCACGCUGGGAGCUGUAGACCGGAGCUGUUCCUAUUCGGCCAUCUUGGCUCCUCCAGGCCAAUUUACUUUCAAAAAUACCUGCAUCCAGGAACUCUCAUGCUAGCAGGAUGAGGUAAUGACUAUUUCCCAUACUCGUGUCAACUUUGAGCAAUGCUAGGAAUUUCCAUAUGUCCAAACAACUGUUUAUCAGGAAAUGCAACAAGGUACUUUUGACACUGAGCGUGAAAGGAACUCAUUGAACCAAAAUCUUCCAAAAAGACUGGAACAUAAGAGAGCGGAUGAAGAGCAUAAUAGAAGAGAAGUGCCAGGGAGGAGGAUUAUCUUAGGCAGAGCACACUGAGGAUGGAGAGUUACCAGCCCUCCCGAGCUGUCGUUGGCACUGAACCAAUGAGAGCCAUUCAUGUGCCUGUCUGUGCCUUGUGUUUUUCUUCUUCAACAUAUACUUUAGAACAUCCAUUCUGUGCAAAGCUCUGUGCCCACAGCUGUUGAGAUGCCAGAUGCAUGCUGUUCCCUGCCCUGAAGACCCCAGCAGUCAGGCCAGGGAGAGAAGACAUUCUUAGACAACCCAACAGUCGUCCCUGGGGAAAGCUCCUCAAAGGCUCGAAGCCAGCCUGAGUGGGCCACUUGAAGAGCCACGGGCUGUGGGAAGAUACGGAGAGGCUACUCCGACGUGGGGAGGAGGUAGGUAUGACGAUGUCCUCUGUGCCUGAAGCCCACUCCGUCCCACUCCCAAUACUCCCACCAUCUCAUCAGUGGGGCAUGCUCGCCCUGGUUAAUGUCAUCUCCCUGAACUGCCAACGAGGCUAGCAGCUUUGCUGCUUAAAACCGGUAACAUCAACCAACAUAUGGAGAUGUCAUCAUGAUUAAACGGCAAAUUAUAGCCGAAGACGGCGCGAUAAUAAUCUAAACAAUCACCACAAGAAGAAACGUUCUCUAACGCUCCAGUUGCGGAAGCCUGCGUUUCCAAGACUCGCGGCCCUGCGUUCCCAGGGAUAUCUCCGUGCUCACGUGAGCGUGGUCCUCGGCUUGGGACAGACAAGGGAGCCCCAGACAGGACGAUAAGGAAGCACGGUUUCGGGGAAGUGGCCAAGUGGCUUAAGUGAGGAGGGUCUGCUUGAAGGUGGCAGGUCUGCUUGAAGCGGCUUCCUGAAGAGGUGAGCUUAUCACCGGCAUCCUGUGUCCCUUCAGGUUCCCUGAGAACUGGGUCAAGAAAGCAGGUUGGGGUAGGAAACAAACGACACCCCCAUUUCAAACAAUAACUUUUAUUUUAUACUUCUCUAUACUUUGUAGCAAAUCUUUUUUUGCUGAAUUUAAUUUAUAAUAAACUUUUUAAAUUACAUCU
rnacentral:lncRNA from 1 species